UUAUCACACUGCCUUUGAAACCCAUGAAUUCACUAAAACAAGAAUAAGUUGUUAUUUGUUAGACAGUUAUUCCACUUAUCUGGACCUGGGGCUGCAGGGACAAAUCAGCAGGCAGAUCCAUACCUGCCAAGAGGCUUCCUUCAGCCUAUUUCAUUCUUGCAUAUUGAACACAUACACACAAAGAUCUAAGAAACUAAUAUUCUGAAACUUACUGGGCAGAAGACUGUGGAAAAGCUAGCUUUUUAUGUCUGCAUAUGCAUGUGCUCAUUUGUGAGACAAUACAUGGCAAAUGUGCAUACAUGUGUGUUGGGUGCACAUGUAUUCCUGUGUUUCUUUAGUCUCUCUUCUCUUAUUACCAGCUGCAAGCUGGGGUUUCCUGGAGCAGCCCUGGGACUCUGAAGAUUGGCUGUAUGUCAAAUUCGUGUUUAUCCUGAUGCAUACAUUCUGCCUAUUGUAAUGACUUGAGAAACUUUUAUUUUCAUUUGCUUUCUCCUGGUGGUUCUUCAUGAUUCUGAAGAAACAAUUUGCAAGAGGGUCAGAAGAUUGCAUUACAAAGAAAGUCAUUCUGCAGGCUUAGGGAUCUUCGUGUAAAAGAAAAGUAUAAUGGAAGAACCAGAAGAUUGGAGAUACAGGGAGAGAAGGAGAAAGAAAAGGAAGGAUGGAAAGGAAGCUGAGCAGAAAAGUCAGAAAAGUCGUCAUUCCUCACGAGACUGAAAUUGGCCCAAGGCCAUCAUGUGACUAUACCCUGAUCCUUUUCUGGAGCUAUCAGAAGCUGGACACCGAGGACUGGAGGAGCAGAGGGGAUUGCAACCUCAUAGGCAGAACAACAUCGGCUGUCCGGACCCCCAGUGCUUCCAGAGAGUAGACCUUCAACCAAGGAGUGUACAGGGAGGGAUCCGUGACUCCAGAUACAUAACAUAGCAGAGGAUGGCCUUGUCUGACAUCAACAGGAAGGGAGGCCCUUGGUUCUGCAGAGGUUUGAUGCCCCAGCAUAGUGGGAUGGUAGAACAGGUGGGGAGGGGCAGUGUGGCUGAGUGGGGGAGAACCCUGGU